rnacentral:rRNA from 1 species
GACGAACGCUGGCGGCGUGCUUAACACAUGCAAGUCGAACGGAAAGGCCCUGCUUUUGUGGGGUGCUCGAGUGGCGAACGGGUGAGUAACACGUGAGUAACCUGCCCUUGACUUUGGGAUAACUUCAGGAAACUGGGGCUAAUACCGGAUAGGAGCUCCUGCUGCAUGGUGGGGGUUGGAAAGUUUCGGCGGUUGGGGAUGGACUCGCGGCUUAUCAGCUUGUUGGUGGGGUAGUGGCUUACCAAGGCUUUGACGGGUAGCCGGCCUGAGAGGGUGACCGGCCACAUUGGGACUGAGAUACGGCCCAGACUCCUACGGGAGGCAGCAGUGGGGAAUAUUGCACAAUGGGCGGAAGCCUGAUGCAGCAACGCCGCGUGCGGGAUGACGGCCUUCGGGUUGUAAACCGCUUUCGCCUGUGACGAAGCGUGAGUGACGGUAAUGGGUAAAGAAGCACCGGCUAACUACGUGCCAGCAGCCGCGGUGAUACGUAGGGUGCGAGCGUUGUCCGGAUUUAUUGGGCGUAAAGGGCUCGUAGGUGGUUGAUCGCGUCGGAAGUGUAAUCUUGGGGCUUAACCCUGAGCGUGCUUUCGAUACGGGUUGACUUGAGGAAGGUAGGGGAGAAUGGAAUUCCUGGUGGAGCGGUGGAAUGCGCAGAUAUCAGGAGGAACACCAGUGGCGAAGGCGGUUCUCUGGGCCUUCCCUGACGCUGAGGAGCGAAAGCGUGGGGAGCGAACAGGCUUAGAUACCCUGGUAGUCCACGCUGUAAACGGUGGGUACUAGGUGUGGGGUCCACUCCACGGGUUCCGUGCCGUAGCUAACGCUUUAAGUACCCCGCCUGGGGAGUACGGCCGCAAGGCUAAAACUCAAAGGAAUUGACGGGGCCCCGCACAAGCGGCGGAGCAUGCGGAUUAAUUCGAUGCAACGCGUAGAACCUUACCUGGGUUUGACAUGGAUCGGGAGCGCUCAGAGAUGGGUGUGCCUCUUUUGGGGUCGGUUCACAGGUGGUGCAUGGCUGUCGUCAGCUCGUGUCGUGAGAUGUUGGGUUAAGUCCCGCAACGAGCGCAACCCUUGUUCACUGUUGCCAGCACGUUAUGGUGGGGACUCAGUGGAGACCGCCGGGGUCAACUCGGAGGAAGGUGGGGAUGACGUCAAGUCAUCAUGCCCCUUAUGUCCAGGGCUUCACGCAUGCUACAAUGGCUGGUACAGAGAGUGGCGAGCCUGUGAGGGUGAGCGAAUCUCGGAAAGCCGGUCUCAGUUCGGAUUGGGGUCUGCAACUCGACCUCAUGAAGUCGGAGUCGCUAGUAAUCGCAGAUCAGCAACGCUGCGGUGAAUACGUUCCCGGG